rnacentral:tRNA from 1 species
GGGCCUGUGGGGUAACUAGGACAUCCUUACGGCCUUCGAAGCCGAGGAUCCGGGUUCAAAUCCCGGCAGGCCCG